UAAUGAAGGUCACAAUUGCAAUUGCACAGAGAAUAAUAGUAAGCAACAGGAGUGUCUUGAUCUACAGAAUUUUCAGGGCAAUGUUGGACAACUCCAGAUCCAUCAGGCAUUUUUUAUGUAGAAGCACGGAUGUCAUGUGCCUGCUCUAUAAAAGCUCUAAUUCUGUCCUAGUGCCACAGUGACUGCACCUGAAGAGUCUUAGCAGAAUCCUGGCUGGACACAGUGGCUUCGAUCCUUCACUGAUAUGAGUUGGGGCACAGGGGAGCAGCUUACUUCCUGCCACAAGAGAUAGUUGGAAAAGAGCUAUAAACCAAAACAUCUCCAAAGACUGUCCUUAUUCUUCAGCCAAUUUGGAAUCAGAAUUUAGAAUUUGUUGCUUCCAAAUCUGCCUUCUACUGUCUUGUUGCCAUGUGGUCAAUUAGUAAACACUCACACAUGCUGGCCACCAUGUCCAUCUCUGUUUCUGAAACAAGUCAAGCCCAUUCCUGCCUGUGGGCUGUGCCCUGGGGUGCCCUAUGCCUGGAGCUCCUGCCCCUGGUCUGGUUGUUUUGUGUCUUUCCUUCUUACAGAACAGCACCCUCAUGGCUUAACCUAGAGAAGCCUUCCCUGUCCUCGCUGCCUCAGGCUGGUUAUUGAUCAACCCGGCUAUGUCACUCAUAGAUGCCCCUACCAACUGGACCGAAAUGACCUCUCAUGGAACCCAGUGCUGGCAGGAGACUAAAUCUGGUUCCUGUAACUCCAUUUUUGCUAAGAGCAAAAUGUUCACCCCAGACUUUUUUUCAAGAAAUCUCUUCAUUUGCUUAGGCAGAUUUUACUACCAAAAAGCAUUAAAUGAAACACUCCUACUGAAGAUCAAUUUAAAAGAUGCACUUAUUUGAAACUCAAAGACAUGGAAUUUUCAACAACCAAGAUUGAAAUGUUGUUUUUGAUUCAUGAUAGACUUCACCAAACUGGCAAGGAUUCUCAAAAAGUAGCAGCCUGUGGUGGCCUGUAUUUCUUGAUCAGAAUUGCCAAUGAGAUGUUUGCAAAACAGUCUGUUCCAAUGGAAGUAAGCUCUGCCUCAAAGUCCAAGCAGAGUAUAGCUGCUCUGAAUCCCAAAAAUAGCAAUAAUUGUAAGAAUUAACGUGAUCGAUAAUGAAUAUAAAU